GUUCAUGACAUUUUCAAUCAAUUCUAACCUUCAAUUGUAGACAUGAUCGCACUACGCAUUUUAUUCGCAUUGUUCGCAAUGAUGAUAGUGAUGUCAGCCCUACCUCAAGCUGAUGGGUGUCGCACGUUCAAGGAUUGCAAACCCGACCAGUUUUGCAACUCUCUAAAGAAAUGUCAGAAGAGAGUCUUCUAACAAUUUGUCAGUUUUGUCUCUGAUCAUGAAUUAGCAAUCGAAGCAUAAUAUCUGCAUUAAACUAAAAGCAAAGA